rnacentral:rRNA from 2 species
UUUGUAGGUGAACCUGCGGAAGGAUCAUUA